rnacentral:rRNA from 1 species
CCUACGGGAGGCAGCAGUGGGGAAUAUUGCACAAUGGGGGAAACCCUGAUGCAGCGACGCCGCGUGAGUGAAGACGUAUUUCGGUAUGUAAAGCUCUAUCAGCAGGGAAGAUAAUGACGGUACCUGACUAAGAAUCCCCGGCUAACUACGUGCCAGCAGCCGCGGUAAUACGUAGGGGGCAAGCGUUAUCCGGAUUUACGGGGUGGAAGGGGAGCGUAGGUGGCAGGGCAAGACAGAUGUGAAAACCCGGGGCUCAACCCCGGGAGUGCAUUUGAGACUGUCCAGCUGGAGUGCAUGAGAGGUAAGUGGAAUUCCGAGUGUAGCGGUGAAAUGCGUAGAUAUUAGGAGGAACACCAGUGGCGAAGGCGGCUUACUGGACUGUAACUGACACUGAGGCUCGAAAGCGUGGGGAGCAAACAGGAUUAGAUACCCUUGUAGUC